CAACUUUUCUUCGAAACAUCUGAAAGAAGAGUCUUUGCAGCAAGGAAACAAUGGCUGCUUCGCGCCGUGAGAAGUACCUGCUCAGCGCUGGCAUCGUUCAACUCCUGGAUGAGCGCUAUGAUACACUGUCUCAGCCAGGAGACGUCGUCCAGCUAGAAGUAACCAACUUGAGGAACCGUCCUCUGAGCACCACAAGCGUGGACUCUAUGAGGGAGUCCAUCCUGAGCCUGUAUCACAACCUCAUCACAGGCUCUAAGGACUUCCCUGUAAUUCCAUUCAUAGGAAGGUUCCGCUCAUAUCGGUUGGUUACACCCUUCAUCAACAUGGAGCAGCAGGAGGAGCAGAGGGAGAACAUCUGCCCAUCUUCUCUGAUGGCAAGACCACCAGGUCUGAUGCGACCAGCUCCAGGCACCGUCUCAUUUCAUCAGAUUAUACUGACUACGGUUCUUCCUGAGAAGACGGAGCUGGGAGCCGUGACUUCGGACCGCAGAAACCGUGUCCGACGCCUGGAGGUUGAUGGAAAGACUGUGACGAGAGUCAUCUCCCCCGUGUACCGUCCUGACAUGACAGAAGUGACGAAUCGCUGGAGACUGAGCGAUUACGGAGAAGAUGGACAAGUUCUCAUGUCAGUCCUCUGUCAGUUUACUCCAAUCUCUGUGCGGUGUGCAAGGCCUCCACAAAGGAAGAGGAAGAGAAGUGACACUGACACGGGGAGCAAAGGCAGCAGCCUCUCCAAACGCAUGAGAGUCUGACUGCCUUUUCAUCCUCAUGCCGGCAGGGUGGCAAGAGGUGAAGUUUUUGCUCGUCAGGACCAGCCUGUGCGCCUGGCAGGGCUGGUGAGGCCCUUGGUAGCGUCUGGCACCAGGGCCCCAUGUGGACCAUAUGAAGCAUGAGACUGGCAAAGGAGUAAAAACUGGACAUUUGUAUACAGUUUUGUUCAUCAUGGAUACAGCACACAGGUCAGCGUAUUGUGUGCGUCUUGCAACUUUCUUUAUUUCUUGGAGCUGCCUGUGUGUCUGAUAUGGUGAAACUACAAGAACCACGAGAAACUCACCUUCCUGAGAGAAGAGGAGACAAAACAACAAACAAACAAAAAAAAAAAAUACCCCAACCCCAGUCCUUCGAGCGAUAAUAACCGACGUGAGGAACCGUCCUCUGAGCACCACAAGUGUAGGCACAAUGAGGGAGUCCAUCCUGAGCCUGUAUCACAACUUCAUCACAAGCUCCAAGGAUUUCCCUCUAAUUCCAUUAAAGGAAACCUUCCACUUAUCUCAGGCAGUCACGACCUUCGACCAGGUGGAGCAGGGACAAACGGAAGGACCAUCAGAUCUGAUGGCGCCCACUGCGAGCUCCAAGCCUUCUCCUCCGGCUAUACUGACUCCAGAUCUUCUUGAGCGGAGCUUGGAGCCCUGAAGUACAAACCACCGACCAUGUGACCACGGUCAUCUCCCCUGUGCUCUGAGAACACUGAGUUGGAAAGCCACUGGACAGUGAGUGACUGCAGAGAAGAAGGACAGUCUGCACAUUGCGCAAAGUCUCAACAACAGAGGCGGAAGAGGAAGGACACCAAUGCAGAGAGCACUGAGCACUGUUUUCUUAUCCUCAUGCUGACAUGAGACUGGCUAAGGAGUAAAAACUGGACAUUUGUACACAGCACACAGGUCAGCGUAUUGUGUGCGUCUUGCAGCUUUCUUUAUUUCUUGGAGCUGCCUGUGUGUCUGAUGAAGAAUCAAGUCCAGACCGAGACCAGACAAGACAAGAGACCAGCAUGCACUGUGAGCCCACUCAUUUCAAAAGAAAAGGGAAGCAGAGAAGAGACAAGAGAAGACAAAACAGCAGGCUGUCUGACAUCUUAUAUAAAAAAAGAGAGGAGAGGAGGACACAAGUCCAGAACAAGACCGGAGGAGACAAAAGACGAGCAUACAUUGUGAGCCCACUCAUUUCAAAAGAGAGGAGAGGAAACAAGGAAGAAUCAAGUCCAGACCGAGACCAGACCAGACAGAAGAAAAAGCAAAGGAGACAGCAUGCACUGUGAGUCCACUCAUUUCAAAAGAGAGGAGAGGAAACAAGGAAGAAUCAAGUCCAGACCGAGACCAGACCAGACCAGACAAGAAACCAGCAAAGGAGAAGCAUGCGCUGUGAGUCCACAGAGGAGAGGAAACAAGUCCAGGCCAAGGCCAGAGGAGACAGGAGACAAGCAAAGAAGACCUCAUGCCCUGUGAGCCCUCUCAUUU